rnacentral:rRNA from 1 species
AUUGAACGCUGGCGGCAUGCUUUACACAUGCAAGUCGAACGGCAGCGGGGUAGUGCUUGCACUACUGCCGGCGAGUGGCGAACGGGUGAGUAAUAUAUCGGAACGUACCGAGUAAUGGGGGAUAACCAAUCGAAAGAUUGGCUAAUACCGCAUACGUCCUGAGGGAGAAAGCGGGGGAUCGCAAGACCUCGCGUUAUUCGAGCGGCCGAUAACUGAUUAGCUAGUUGGUGGGGUAAAGGCCUACCAUGGCGACGAUCAGUAGCGGGUCUGAGAGGACGAUCCGCCACACUGGGACUGAGACACGGCCCAGACUCCUACGGGAGGCAGCAGUGGGGAAUUUUGGACAAUGGGGGCAACCCUGAUCCAGCCAUGCCGCGUGUAUGAAGAAGGCCUUCGGGUUGUAAAGUACUUUUGUUAGGGAAGAAAAGGGAAGUGCUAAUACCACUUUUUGCUGACGGUACCUAAAGAAUAAGCACCGGCUAACUACGUG